CGCGUGUACACAGAACCAACCUUUUCUUCUUCCAGCAAGUUCCAUAUUUCUUUCACUCAAUAUUUUUGUGUCCUCUCCUGUAUUUGUCCAUUUUUCUUCAAUUUUAAUUCUCCUACUCUUCCGUAUAAUUUUUUGCUAAAUUUUUAACAUGCAUGUCAGUAACUCUAUCUGAUCUGCACAUCCAUAUUUGGUGCAUGUAAUUGUAUAGUAUUUUGGGUUACUGAUCGUUGAUAUGGUGAAAUUUUAAAUUAUGUAGGCUAAUGAGCCUAGUUGGGUGAUAUGCCUGAGACAACUAAAUUAUUUGGGUGAAUUUGGUAUAAAAAGGGCAGUCUGGUGCACUAAGCUCCCGCUAUGUGCGGGGUUCGGAGAAGGGCCGGACCACAAGGGUCUAUUGUACGCAGCCUUACCUUGAAUUUGGUAUAGUAUAAGCAAAAUCCAAAAGUUAAUUAAGAAGACGAGGAACCUAAAUACCUACGUUGGCCACCCUUUCUUUUCCUCGGUAUGUGUUUCUUUUACGUGGUUGUGAUACAACUUGUGAAGAAUUCUCAUGUUUUUUUUUGUUUUUAGUUUAUUUUCCUUGUGUCAUCUUUGAUUUACAGCAUUACUGAGGUAACAACAUGUUGGUUUCAAGGGUGCUAGCAAAAGUGUUGCUUGUUCUCUGUCUGCCGAAGUUGAAUGGAAGAGAUUGUAUGGAAUCAGAGGAGAAUUUAGAGCACCAGUGCAAAUACUGGCCCUAAUCGAGAAAGAAGAACUAAGAAAAGCGUGGAACCAAAAAACAUGAAGGGUGGCCUUCUUUCCUUGCUAUCCAUAGGGGGAUUAAGACAAAUGUUAUUGUUAAAAAAUUGUGUGUUUGUGGUGAGAAAUCUGGAUAUGCUUCAAGUCGUAUACCUUAUUUGGAGCACUUUCCAAAGAGAAUUGUUUGUCCCUCACAAAUACUCUCCUGGGAUAGAAUGAAGCAAAGCCAAGAAAUAAUGAAAUCAAGUCUUUGAACACACAAGAAUAAUGCUGCAGUCACUAAACUUACAGUUUUUUUCUUAAGGGAGAAUUCUGGUUUUUUGAGUACUUCUUAUGAUAGAAAUAUUUCCAGGAUUUCAUCCAUUUAUUGAGAUGUUUUAAGCCUUCAACCUGAAAUGAUGCAACCUUUAGGGAAGAGUUGCAUUGUUUCAUAAAGAAAUGUACUCUUUCAGAAAGAAAAAUACUUUUUCUUUUUUAAGCAAGAAAAGUAUCUUUUUUUCUUUUAAGAAGAAAGAAAAAUACUUUUCUUUUUGCCAA